GUAAUGAAAAUUGUGACGUGAAUCGUCACGUGACUCGAAAAUUCGGGACAACUCGGAAAAAUUCGGAUAAGAUCGGUUGGAACCUCGAAAUACAUGGUUGAUGAUUUCGUGUCAAUUCGGCAAUAGUUGAAUGCGAUCCAAUAAUCUGUAAUAUUGAUUUUAUUAUAAAGUAAGUGAUGAAAAAUUUAGAAAACAAAUUAAAUCAUUUUUAUGUAACAUUAUAUUAAUUUUAAUUCAUAAUUUAUUUUUCUGGAAAUAUUUUACAGAUUAAAUUUUUCAAUAUUUCGUCUCUAAAAUAACCUAUAUCAUUUAAAAGAUUAUCUAACGGAAGAAGACUAGCAAUUGUCACAAAGUAUAAUUCAUCUACCCACAAUUACUUGAGUUUAAAUGGAUUGUUCUCUCGAGGGAUGAAUUAUGUUCCUCAUUAAUACGCCUGUUGAAAAGAUUGUAUAAAAUCAAGUUGAGAAGGUAAAGUACUAAAAUAUUUUUUUCUCGAAAUCUUUUAAAAAAUAAGAUCUUAUAAAACAAGUACAAAUAAUGUCUUCAUUUACACAUCUCUAAUAUAUAUUAUAAUAUGUUUAUACGAUAAAGUUUAACUAGUUUGGCGUUUAUAACAAGAAUAAAUUAUUAAUUCUUCCUAUUUAAAACAACAAGGAAUCGCAGCAGUAGCUUUGAUCCGAAGCUUGUACAUCUAAUAUCGCAUAUAUCUUAAAUUUCAAGCUUUCCAUUGUCGAUAAUUGCUGAUGUAUUAUUCAUUUGUUCCAAUCUCACGCCGGUAUUAACGAGCGAACUAUCGACAAAGUGGGCAUUAAAUAUUUAAAGCUUUUCAACUUUAACAAAAUAUAAAAGUUAUAAAUUA